UAUUGCGUAUGGAAGCGGUCGAGCAUCCUGUAUCGAUGCAAAUUUUUGGUUCUAAUCCAGAAGCAAUAGC
rnacentral:tRNA from 1 species